rnacentral:rRNA from 1 species
GACGAACGCUGGCGGCGUGCCUAACACAUGCAAGUGGAGCGACGACCCGGGCUUCGGCCCGGUGCAAAGCCGCGAACGGGUGAGUAACACGUGGGUAACCUGCCCUGAUGAUUGGGACAACCCGAGGAAACUCGGGCUAAUACCGAAUGUGCCCUCUGGCCUCAAGGCCUCUGGGGAAAGGAAGCUUCGGCCUCCGCAUCGGGAUGGGCCCGCGGCGCAUUAGCUUGUUGGUGAGGUAACGGCUCACCAAGGCGACGAUGCGUAGCUGGUCUGAGAGGACGAUCAGCCACACUGGGACUGAGACACGGCCCAGACUCCUACGGGAGGCAGCAGUGGGGAAUCUUGCGCAAUGCGCGAAAGCGUGACGCAGCAACGCCGCGU